rnacentral:piRNA from 1 species
UCCAUGAAGUAAACUCGUGGGUGUCUCA